CGAUUGUAGUCAUAUGCUUGUCUCAAAGAUUAAGCCAUGCAUGUCUAAGUAUAAGCAAUUAUACCGCGAAACUGCGAAUGGCUCAUUAUAUAAGUUAUCGUUUAUUUGAUAGCACAUUACUACUUGGAUAACCGUGGUAAUUCUAGAGCUAAUACAUGCUAAAAAUCCCGACUUCGGAAGGGAUGUAUUUAUUAGAUUAAAAGCCAACGCCCUUCGGGGCUCUCUGGUGAUUCAUAAUAACUGGUCGAAUCGCAUGGCCUUGCGCCGGCGAUGGUUCAUUCAAAUUUCUUCCCUAUCAACUUUCGAUGCGAGGGUCUUGUCCUCGCAUGGUUGCAACGGGUAACGGAGGGUUAGGGCUCGACCCCGGAGAAGGAGCCUGAGAAACGGCUACUACAUCCAAGGAAGGCAGCAGGCGCGCAAAUUACCCAAUCCCGACACGGGGAGGUAGUGACAAUAAAUACUGAUACAGGGCUCUUUUGGGUCUUGUAAUCGGAAUGAGUACAAUUUAAAUCCCUUAACGAGGAACAAUUGGAGGGCAAGUCUGGUA
rnacentral:rRNA from 1 species